rnacentral:lncRNA from 1 species
CAAAUAGUUUAAUUAUUAUACAGAUAAAAACAAUAAGUGUGCCAUACGAAUGAACUUAAUAUACUAAAUUUAACUUUAACUCAGAUGUAUAUGUAUAUUAUUGUCUGUGUUAUUGACAAAAUGCCUAUUGUUAAAUGGAUUUAAACUGACUCAGGAUGAUUUACAUGAAAUCAAAUUCAAACACAAUAGAACAUAUUAAUUAUUUACUCUGAUGGCAUUUUGUAAGCAAGGCUAUCAAUUUAAAAACAAUUUGACCUCGAGCAUCUCUAUCUGAAGAGAUUUCUGACAUUAAUCAAUAAAUAUUGA